rnacentral:rRNA from 1 species
AUUGAACGCUGGCGGCAGGCUUAACACAUGCAAGUCGAGCGGGGGAAGGUAGCUUGCUACCGGACCUAGCGGCGGACGGGUGAGUAAUGCUUAGGAAUCUGCCUAUUAGUGGGGGACAACAUCUCGAAAGGGAUGCUAAUACCGCAUACGUCCUACGGGAGAAAGCAGGGGAUCUUCGGACCUUGCGCUAAUAGAUGAGCCUAAGUCGGAUUAGCUAGUUGGUGGGGUAAAGGCCUACCAAGGCGACGAUCUGUAGCGGGUCUGAGAGGAUGAUCCGCCACACUGGGACUGAGACACGGCCCAGACUCCUACGGGAGGCAGCAGUGGGGAAUAUUGGACAAUGGGGGGAACCCUGAUCCAGCCAUGCCGCGUGUGUGAAGAAGGCCUUAUGGUUGUAAAGCACUUUAAGCGAGGAGGAGGCUACUUUAGUUAAUACCUAGAGAUAGUGGACGUUACUCGCAGAAUAAGCACCGGCUAACUCUGUGCCAGCAGCCGCGGUAAUACAGAGGGUGCGAGCGUUAAUCGGAUUUACUGGGCGUAAAGCGUGCGUAGGCGGCUUAUUAAGUCGGAUGUGAAAUCCCCGAGCUUAACUUGGGAAUUGCAUUCGAUACUGGUGAGCUAGAGUAUGGGAGAGGAUGGUAGAAUUCCAGGUGUAGCGGUGAAAUGCGUAGAGAUCUGGAGGAAUACCGAUGGCGAAAGCAGCCAUCUGGCCUAAUACUGACGCUGAGGUACGAAAGCAUGGGGAGCAAACAGGAUUAGAUACC